AUUCAGUAAAACUAAGUGACCUUUAAUACAAAGGUUCUAUUCUUGCAGUAAACUGCAACGAACUGGAAGAGGGCAUAGUAUAAUGAUCUCAAAGCUUGCCAUGUCAUUAACUAAGUAGGUGCUUGGUUCCUCCGUUUAAUAUUUUUUGUAGUGUUGCUAUAAACAAGCAAUCACAACAAUAUGCUUGAAUGACAACAUGGACGAUACUUUGAAAAAUACACACACAUACAUGUAGGUAGUUAAAAAAAAAGACGAUGUGGGCAAAAUGUUUUGCUCAGAAAUUAAAAACGUAGUUGAUAAUCGUUUGCUUAGCAAAAUAUUUAGAUGCUGUCGAACUAUUAUAGCAUGAUUAAGGCAAAUAUGACGCUUCCCAUUUCGAAGUUACUUUGUUUUAAUCUUUGUUAAUUAUUUACAUUAAACUGAACUUAGCCCAUCUCUUAAUGUACAUAACCAUUCUACUUGAUGAUAGGACAAGGAAAGGAGAUACUUGAUAACAAAAUGGAUGUUAACGUUUGUCGUUUUUGUAUGAUCCUCAGUACUAG
rnacentral:lncRNA from 1 species